UGAUUUUUUUGCCACAGUCGCAAUAAUGAAAAUUCAAUUAUUCAAUAAAUCGUGAAGCAUAGAAGACAAGUUUAAUCUUCCUAAUCUUUUUCAAACAAAAACAAAACUGGAUUGAUUAAAUCUAUAUAUUCUAUCUAGAUUAGACAAAGUUGCUGCGAAAGCCAGCUACCAAUGUUGCAAGGCAGGCACUUGAUUGGAAUAAGCAAGGAUCAUGAGGAGCGUGGGCAGACCAAAGCCAACCUGGAAGAGGUCAGUCGUCAGUGAAGCUGAGGGUACUGGAAUUACAUGGGAGCAGAUGAAGAAGGCUGCUCAGAACCGAGUUCGGUGGAGAGGUGUGGUUGCAGCCCUCGGCUCUCCACAGACAGAUGUUCCCGAUGAUAAAGCGAUAGAUGUCCAUAAGCAAAUGAAACGAACAUGGCCACUAAUUAAGCUCUUAUCGUAACAAGGACAUUAAGGGAACAUGAAUACAGUGUCGGAAACUUGCCUUUUUUUUCUUACGACAGCAAGAAACAGCUUUAUAAUAAGAAACAGCUUUAUACACAGAAGGGUAUAUGCCAUUUAUAUGGUAACAAGAAACAGUUUUAUACCAAGAAAUAGUUUUAUACCAAGAAACAGGUUUAUACCAAGAAAUAGUUUUAUACCAAGAAACAGUUUAUACUGUGUCGAAGACAUGCAGUUUUAUUAAAGCCUGAUACUAAAUGGUAGAUUAGAGCGAACAAAAACAAAGACGAACAAGUUAUCCAGAUUUAGCGGUAAAGAAAAAACACAGCUAUGAAAGACUCGGUUUACAUUUAUAUGUGAUCUAAAUGAUUUAUGAAUGUUGCUUAUUUGGAUGUCUGUAUAAUUAAACAUGUCUCAAGUUUACUGACCAGUUCAAAUUGCAGGUUUGUCAAUACUGGUCAGUGGAUAAUUAAAAUUUGUCCCUUCACUGGUCAGUGGAUGUUUUAAGUUUAUCUUAUAAAUUACAGACGUUACUUCAAAAGAAAAGAUAAUUACGUUCUUAUCGUUUCCAAGUCAGUGGUGUAGCUAUGAGGAUGGGGGAGAAUUUGAAAAUCCCCCAGGGCCCCCACUUGAGGUGGGCCCCCAAAUUAGUGUUCGAAUUUUUUUUUCUUACUUUAAAUAUUACGCCAUUAUGCCAUGUCAUGAUAUCGAAUGUUAAAUGCAGAGGCCCUUAAAGAGGCCAAGGCUCCCCGGGGGCCCCACAAAGAUGGCUAAUUCCAAGCAACACCACUGUUCCAUAUGCUAAUCCAUUUUUUUUAAAUAACAAAAUCAAUUAGCUCUCAGUAAGCAGAGUCCAACAUUUUCACAGUUCAUUAUUUAUUCGCACUAAAACUAGAGUUUUUGCCAAAACAAAACGGACACCCACUUGAUGGGUGAUAUUCAGGAAUGGACAGUCAAAGAUCGGGUCAGUAAUUGUCCUAGCAUGUAACGGUACACAAGUCUAGGAAUUAUGAUGAAUCAGUCCGUAUAAAGAAGGCUCUAUGUAAAAUUAAAACGCACAGAAAAGAAAAGGACAUUUUGCAUUACGCAGAGUUUCGAUAGUUCACAUAUUUGUUGAACCAGAGCUUGGACUAAAAGAUAGACAUAAUAGAAGAGUGACAGUAGGUUAAGUCAGUCAUUUCUUAGUCUCAGUUGUAUAUUGGUCUCUAGUUCAAAGCAACUUAUAUUUAUUCUUAAAUUUAUUUAUAGUGUGAGUGACAUUACAAUUGAAAUUUUCUGAGUGCAUAUUUAUUCUACAAUGAAAUAUAAAUCGGUUUUGUGAUCCCUGGCAAUGUUUGAGCUUUGAGUCACCAGUUUUAUAUCUAGAAAUGUUACCUCAUAGUAAUCGCAUAACGUUAGCCUAAAUAUACAACACUAAAAAUUAUUGUACUUGUAGUACAUGUACAUAUGCAUAUCUAACAGGAAAAAAAACACAUUGGUGUAUUUUUUAAAAUAUUUUUUGUUUUUGUCGUAGUUACAAC